CGGACCUCUGCGGGUCCCGCGUCAGCGGGCGUGAGGCGGCAUCACUCGCGCGGGUGAACUGUGCCAACCGGGCUGGAUUUUCGCCCUGUUGGCGGGCAUAUGCUCACGCUGACCAACCCAGACAUGAGACGGCCCCCGGCCGGGACUGGCAUCCCGACCGAAGGCCUGACCAGCGAGGAAGAAAAAGGCUUCCCC
rnacentral:ncRNA from 1 species